rnacentral:rRNA from 1 species
CCCCUAGAUGUUCUGGGCCGCACGCGCGCUACACUGAACAGUUCAACAAGUCUUAACCUUGGCCGAUAGGUCUGGGUAAUCUUUGAACGCUGUUCGUGAUUGGGAUAGACCUUUGCAAUUAUGGGUCUUCAACGAGGAAUUCCUAGUAAACGCAAGUCAUCAGCUUGCAUUGAUUACGUCUCUGCCCUUUGUACACACCGCCCGUCGCACCUACCGAUUGAAUGGUCCGGUGAAAUCUCGGGACGGCGGCUUGGUCGCUUGCGUCCGACUGCUGAAACUUGAUUAAACCAUAUCAUUUAGAGGAAGGUGAAGUCGUANCA